rnacentral:rRNA from 1 species
CAGAGGUCCCAAGCGUUGUUCGGAUUUACUGGGCGUAAAGGGUGCGUAGGUGGUCGGGUAAGUCUCAGUGUGAAAUCUCCAAGCUUAACUUGGAAAUGGCAUGGGAUACUAUUCGGCUAGAGGAUUGGAGGGGGGACUGGAAUUCCCGGUGUAGCAGUGAAAUGCGUAGAUAUCGGGAGGAACACCAGUGGCGAAGGCGAGUCCCUGGACAAUUCCUGACGCUGAGGCACGAAAGCUAGGGGAGCAAACAGGAUUAGAUACCCUGGUAGUCCUAGCUGUAAACGGUGCUCACUUGCUGUAGACGGAAUCGACCCCGUCUGUGGCGAAGCUAACGCGUUAAGUGAGCCGCCUGGGGAGUACGGUCGCAAGAUUA